rnacentral:lncRNA from 1 species
GUCGGGCGCAUCCGACCCUGAGACCUUGGGUCGGGCGAGUACUACUUCAAACAACAAAAUAUGGACAAGUGUUCAUUUCUCAGACAAAAAUAUCGUUCAGAGUACUCGAAUGAUUAUAAGAGUAUAUAAAAGUUCAAGGCUCCUCCAGAGAUACAAAUUCCGACAUCUUCGACGCGAUUGGCUCCGCGUCCUCAAGGUACUGCGCAUAGGAUUCCUCUGUGCAGUUGUGAGCAACACCGUCACCAGCCGCAGACAAAUCUGCCCUCGGGUAGUAUGACUUGACCAUAACAAGGACUUGUUUGCAAACAGCCUUGCAUAGGCCAGCCACUU